rnacentral:lncRNA from 1 species
AUGUUCGAUUGUACUGAAAAUAUGAUCAGAGUUCGAAAAAUGAUUUCAACUCUCUCCUCUGCAGUGCUUUUGUCUUUGCUCCUGUUGGUCACGUGCUUCCUGGCGUUGCUGCAUGGGAGGAAGCGCCACAACAAAGCUGUGACGCCUGGAUGUCCAAAAGAAAACACAAACGAGUCCGAAGAAGAAGAAGAUGACGUCAGCGACAGAUCGAGUGCUGAUCGGCCUCCUGGAGACUCUGGGGAAAGGGGGAAUAGUCAGUGGGACUCAGAGAUGGGAUGGAGAAGAUCCUGUGCUGAGGUCAGAGCGAAGUCAGCUAACGCUAUUCUCUUUACAUCUCCUUUUUGUGCACCUGUAAAAGAUCAAUUUAGUUCACAACCUGAGGCAGAGGCUCGAUUGAAAGAUUCAGAAAAUGAAGCUGAAGGAAAGCAGAAACUAGGGAGGGAAACUGACAUAGACGGAGGAUUUGAGACUGGAACAGCGACAAAAAAUCUAGGUAAAGACCUCCACUGUGUUUCUGUCAACACUGACACGGACAACGUGCCUUAUCUGAGCAUCGGCACAAACCAGAAUUGCCCUGGUGAUUUGAACAGACAGUCCACUGAUGAUCCGGGUCAAAGGUUACAGACGAGCAAGGCUUUGGGAAGGAUCUCCACCUGGCCUCCGACUGCAGUUCAGUGGCAGGCCAGAUGUCAAAUCAAGGAGAACGAGGAGACGGAGGCGUCUCAUGUCCACACCGUCUGGACACCAAAGUUUCAAGCAGGUGAGGUGAACAAAGAGUUUAACAAAGUGGAGAUUCCCUUUGGUGAGGAUGAAAUUGAGAAGAAUCAAAUCGAUGAUUCCCUAAAGAUAGAUCAGAUGAAAGUGGGACUCUCUCGUUCGCCAGAAACAAAUGACAAGACCACUUCUGUCAGCGGGGCUCAUUCCCAGACUGACAUGGAGCAAAGGGAGCAGCUGAAGGAGGAAGAGAUGGUCCAGGACGCUGCAACUGUGACACACACAAUCAGUGAAACCCCAAAUCAAAUCCUGACACCUGCAGAGACGAGCGGCAACAAGCUCGACCCAAAGCGAGCUGUGACGAGCAGACAGAAGGCAGAAGGCAGAGGCACCGGCUCGAAGGCUCCCUCUGGUGGAGCCUCUCCUGAUGAUGAAACGCUGCUGUCCGGCAACGAGUACGCCUUCAUGGACCUGCUGCACGAGGUGGCGCAGAACAACGGCCGCUGGACCAGAGAGAGGUGGAGGCAGACGCAUGCCAACAAGCAGCGGCAUUAG